CACCGUGAGUUGGAAUCUGAAGGAAGCCGGCGGCAAACAUCUGGCCUGACGUACAGAAACUUGAUAUAAGGCUACGUGAGUUCGGGCUAAGCUAAUAAGUAAAUAAUAGAAAUAAAAAUAGGUAAUCACAGAAAUAUUUUGUAAA
rnacentral:ncRNA from 1 species